AACCGCGGUUAUACGAGUGGCCCAAACUGAUAUAUACGGCGUAAAGGGUGAUUAGAAAUACAAAACUAAAGCCAAACAUCUUUUAAGCUGUUGAAAGCUAAGAAAGGANUGAAGCCCACGCACGAAGUCGCUUUAACAUUUUUGAAUUCACGAGAGUUAAGAUA
rnacentral:rRNA from 1 species